rnacentral:rRNA from 1 species
UACGUAGGGCGCAAGCGUUGUCCGGAAUUAUUGGGCGUAAAGAGCUCGUAGGCGGUUUGUCGCGUCUGUCGUGAAAGCUUGGGGCUUAACCCCAAGUCUGCGGUGGAUACGGGCAGACUAGAGGCAGGUAGGGGAGAACGGAAUUCCCGGUGUAGCGGUGAAAUGCGCAGAGAUCGGGAGGAACACCGGUGGCGAAGGCGGGUCUCUGGGCAAUUCCUGACGCUGAGGCGCGAAAGCGUGGGGAGCAAACGGG